rnacentral:tRNA from 1 species
GCGAGAUUAGUAUAUUGGAUAUUAUGACUGGCUUCCAACCAGUAGAGGAGAGUUCGAUUCUCUCAUCUCGCUCCA